GAUGAACGCUAGCGGCAGGCUUAAUACAUGCAAGUCGUGGGGCAGCAUGAUGUAGCAAUACAUUGAUGGCGACCGGCAAACGGGUGCGGAACACGUACACAACCUCCCUUUUAGUGGGGAAUAGCCCAGAGAAAUUUGGAAUAAUACCCCAUAAUAUAUAGAGAUGGCAUCAUCUUAAUAUUAAAGCUUCGGCGCUAGAAGAUGGGUGUGCGGCUGAUUAGGUAGUUGGCGGGGUAACGGCCCACCAAGCCUACGAUCAGUAGCUGAUGUGAGAGCAUGAUCAGCCACACGGGCACUGAGACACGGGCCCGACUACUACGGGAGGCAGCAGUAAGGAAUAUUGGACAAUGGACGCAAGUCUGAUCCAGCCAUGCCGCGUGAAGGAUUAAGGUCCUCUGGAUUGUAAACUUCUUUUAUUUGGGACGAAAAAAGAUCAUUCUUGAUCACUUGACGGUACCAGAUGAAUAAGCACCGGCUAACUCCGUGCCAGCCGCCGCCGUAAAAC
rnacentral:rRNA from 1 species